AAUAGAAUUGCUGAGUUAUAUGGUAAUUCAAUGUUUAACUUUUUGAGGAACCACCAUACUGUUUUCCACAGUGGCAGCACCACUUUAAAUUUCCACCAGUAAU
rnacentral:pre_miRNA from 1 species